rnacentral:rRNA from 1 species
GACGAACGCUGGCGGCGUGCUUAACACAUGCAAGUCGAACGCUGAAGCCCUUCGGGGUGGAUGAGUGGCGAACGGGUGAGUAACACGUGGGUAAUCUGCCCUGCACUCUGGGAUAAGCCUUGGAAACGGGGUCUAAUACCGGAUAGGACACAUCGCCGCAUGGUGUGUGUGUGGAAAGUUCCGGCGGUGCAGGUUGAGCCCGCGGCCUAUCAGCUUGUUGGGUGGGUGAUGGCCUACCAAGGCGACGACGGGUAGCCGGCCUGAGAGGGUGACCGGCCACACUGGGACUGAGACACGGCCCAGACUCCUACGGGAGGCAGCAGUGGGGAAUCUUGCGCAAUGGGCGAAAGCCUGACGCAGCAACGCCGCGUGGGGGAUGACGGCCUUCGGGUUGUAAACCUCUUUCGACCGGGACGAAGGAUUCGUUUGACGGUACCGGUAGAAGAAGCACCGGCUAACUACGUGCCAGCCGCCGCGGUAA